rnacentral:rRNA from 1 species
UACGGGAGGCAGCAGUAGGGAAUUUUCGGCAAUGGGGGAAACCCUGACCGAGCAACGCCGCGUGAAUGACGAAGUACUUCGGUAUGUAAAGUUCUUUUAUUGGGGAAGAAUGGUACGUGGAAAAACGUACGUGACGGUACCUAAUGAAUAAGCCCCGGCUAACUAUGUGCCAGCAGCCGCGGUAAU